ACACACUUAUUCAAUCAACUUUCCUUUUCCUUUGUUCGUGCCUGAGCCUUCAGGUUGCUCAUAUAUAACUGAAAACAUUUAAUUUAAGCAAGGAUGAGCAUUUAAGUGCCCAGCAAGUAAUAGCAAUUAUAUAUAAGCUGAAAGAAUAUAAGUAUUCUCUUUACAUAACACUUCUACAACGAAUUGAAAGUUGUGAAGUAAUCUGUACUGAUAAAAAAUUCACAUA
rnacentral:lncRNA from 1 species